GACAGAUUUUAUAUUGUUAUUUCUACUAGUUUGACAUGAGCUGGAUAAAAAAUAUUUUCAUAAGUAAUGAACAUUCAUUCAUUAUCUCUUGAAAGUAGGAAUCUAUCAUCCAUUUUCUUUAUAUACUCAGUAUCUGAUACAGUGUCUGGCCUAUAGAAGGUACAUAACAAAUGUUUUUUCAACUGAAGUACUACUUAAUCAUUAUCUCAGUAUCCCACGAAAAUCGCAAAAACAUUAAAGUCCAGAUGGUCAGAUGACCUCUGCUUGUAGAGGAAGAUCCACAUAUUGUUAAUGAAAUACGCUGUGAUAAAAUAUGAAUUUUUCCUUGUGAAUUAAGUAGAUGAUCUCAGGUCAAAAACAGAGUGGCUACUUAUUAUUUCUGUCCUAUAGCAAGUUUUAUUUUUAUUGUUUAAAGUAUCAUGUCAAUAGGUGGUGAUGAUCUAGCUGGAAAUAAGACAAACAUUAAAAAUUAUUUUGGAAAAGAAGACAAUUUACAGAUUCUAAAAACUGAAUACUUUUAUAUAGUGUUUUUAGUGUUUAUAUAUAGUGUUUAUGAUCAUAUACCUAGACAGUAAAAAAAUGUAGCAUAAGAGAGACAAACACUUUUAAGUUUAACCCAAUCUCCUCUAAAUACAUCAUUUGUUUAUUUUUUUAUUUUUUAUUUUUUACAAUAUCACAUAUAAUUUCCAUUCCAUAUAAUUCUUUUUAAAAAAUAUUAUAUAGUACUUUCUUUAUUAUGAUAUGUAUUUUUUAUUUUAUUAUUAUUAUACUUUAUGUUGUCUUUAUCCAGGGUUGUCCUCAGUAAAAACUGAGAAAUAGGAAGACUGUACUUGAAUAGAGGGAGCUGGGGUUUCCUGCUCCCUUCUUAUGGUAACCUGCGCUGGAACAGUCACUCACUAAGCCUGUCCUCUUCAAGUCUGGCAUCCUUCCAUAAGCAUGAAAUCUUGUGAACCUCAUCCUUCUUUUCACUGCUUACUCAUCCUCUGUCUCACCCUUUGGGGACCUUCUAGGAUUGCUUUGCUUUCCAAAAUGAUGACUAGCUUCUGCUUUGUGUUCAGAUAUCGUUUGAGAAUAAUGGCUCAUAUGUUAUAAUAUGUUAAUACAUUAUAUAAUAUGGCAUUACAUUAAAUAGCCGCAAUGCUUGCAAUCACAGCAACAGUGCAGCCUCCUGCUAUCAUAAAUCACAUUUAUUCAGCUUCUUUUGGAGCUGGUCCAGUGGCAAGAGGAAAAAAAUCUAGGAAUAGAAAAAGGUGGCAAAAAACACUCUUAAAACGAUUGUCUGAUAUAUGCUUCUUCAAACAUUGUUUGACCCAUGCAAUGGCCAAAUUCUUUUCUAAGAUUUUGCAUUUGCUUCAUAUUGGUGGUGGCUAUAAGAAACUUUUUAAUAUGUGUCUCAAACGGUAGAUAAAAAGAAAUUGAGUCAGAAUUAUUAUCUGCAAUAAAAGCAGCUCAGGGUGAGGAGGGCUCUGUAGCUGGUGAAUAUCGCAGCUGCCUGAGUAAGCACAUAGGAUAGCAAAUUCUUUUAGAGACCUCCUAAAAUGCUGUUACAUCACAUGGUGCAUUUGUUCUUGUGACCAGGUCAGUUUUCAGUUCAAGUAAUUAUAUUUUGUGGACCUAAUAUUCCUGAUGCCAUUCCAGUUUUAGAAUGUACUGUUGGCUUCUUCACCUUCAGGAAAACUCCUAGCAGACAGCUGUGCUGUACUGUUGACACCACGGGCUGAUCUUCAUAACUGCAGUGCUCAGACAAUGAGCAGUUCAUCAAGACACAGAGACUGCUUUCCUUUGCAAGUCAUACACAUAGGAAAUAUGAAUAAUUGCCACCGGAAGAAUUUGUUUCCGUCUUAUUUCUAAAGCAAAGCAUUUUCUGUGUUUUCGCUGUUUGUAUACAUUUGCUGUUUACUAUAUUAAAGUAGUUUAUACUGUAGCAUGGGGGGAAAAUUAAUUGAUAGAGAUUUCAGCUUGGUUUUUGACCAUCCAAAAUUCUUAACUCAGACAGACAUUUCAUUUUUCUAAACUGGACAUUCUGCAGAGAUAAAUGAAGACAGAUGGCAUCACCUCGAAGCUGGUUAUCCUGAUGAAAGAUCUCAGGGAGUCGCAGCUGUAAGCAACUGUGACCCUUUGACAUCUUACAUGGAGACAGGUUUGGAGAGAGAAGGGAGGCAGCAUGUUCACCCAGCUGCGGCUCUGAUAUGAAUGCUGACAGCGUUGCUGGGAUUAUUUUUUGUUUAAACUCUGCAUCCCAUUAGUUCUGAUAUGAAAAGCUGAUCUUGUGACUGUAAUGUAUGCACGUUUCUGCCACCAGGAAAAAGCACAGUCUGAUUGAGCAAGGUAGAAUCCAACACCAUUCAGCCCAAAUAACCUAAAACCCCAACCCUGAUUGUGUCAUGUCAUAUAUUUUAAGAACCCAGUCCAGGCUGUUACAUCAAGUAAUAUCGAAUCAACAGACAGUUAAAAUAAUGACAAUGGGGCUAUCUGAAAAAAUAAAAGCCAUUUGGCCCCUGUAACUGUCAGGCUAUUAAUGUAGAAAAUGAAUGUCUGGGGUUGUUUUCCUGACACUGGAGAAACAUUCCAAUGAGCAAUGAUAAAUUGGAAGGUGAGGGGAAAAUCUCUUAUCUCUACAUAGACUAAAAAGCAGUUGACAACUGUUCCUACAUUCUCUGUGUGCAGUCAGAUAAAGAGUGCACGAUUGGUUUCCCCUGGAAUCUUACACUGAGGGUUUUUGCCUCAUUCGGAGUGAAUAUUUGCUCAGAGAGCCAAAAUAACACAGAUAAACACAUGGAAAUACAUUUGUGUAAAAUAUGGGGAGUCGACAAGAGUGAGGUCCUUUAGAAGGAUUUAGGGAGGGGACUGGGAAAAACAGGGAGCACAUUGUGUGGAUGUUCUCAUGAAUUAUUUUUAAUGGCCCAGACUGGGAACACUUUUGAAUAUAUUAGGAUGGGCAUUAAGUAGAACAGUCAAUUUCUUUCAAUACUGAUGCAGUUUAUCCAUCAACAGGUAGAUGAGAUUUCAAUGUGAAAUGAAUCAUGAAAGUUAAAGUAAGUAACAUAUGGGAUGUUAAAAUUAAUUAUCAUUCUACUCAUUAGAGUGCAUAUAAUGAACAAAACAGUCAUUAAAAUUAUUUAUCAAAUUGAAUACAGAAAAUAAAAUGCACAUUUACUGGGUGAUAAUAUUUUCAUCAAUGUUAUCAAUCAAAAUAUGUGUCCUCUCUUUUGCCUAGAAAAGAGUAAAAAUAACAUAAAUAGUAUAAGCCUCUGUUUCAUCUAUUAAAUAAGAGUAACAAUAUCGUAGAUCACUGUCAUGAAAAUUAGACUAAUUGGAUUUAUUCCAGGCAUUUGUUUGGUGCCCUGCUAUGAGUGUUCCUUGUCUUGUGCCCUCCAGCAGACAGCAUGGUCCUUCCCACAUCCUGAGAGCCUCCUGGUUCCUGCCAUGGCUCCCUGGCUAACCCUGACAUGUGCAGGCGACUCUCUUACCCUCUCCUAACACGAGUUUGCUCAGUGAUCAGAUUUAAGCUGGCUUUUAAGAAACUGUGAUAUUAAACAUGUUAAUCUGGUCUUCCAAGUCAGAAUUUCUAAUGAGGACAAUGGGUUCCAAGCACUCCUCCUAUGUUCUAAAGAGAAACACAAGCCACAGCAAACAGGGCAGGGACAAGAUGAAAAAUCUCGAGCUCUUCUCAUCCCAUGUUCAGGAGAUUGAUCAAGAAGGGAAGAAAAACACUGAUGGUGAAGAUUUUCAUGGAGAGUGUUCUUAAGAGUACAGCAUGUCCUCUGCCCCCACCCAGGCUCAGGUUGUAGUCCUCCUAAUCCAAACCAGGUGAAGGAGAGCAUGGCCUUCAUCCCAUAAAAUUUAAAAGACACAUAGACUGAGUAUCUGACCCUAAUGAGAAAAUAUCUAAAAGCAACAGGUGGAUGGAGCUGUCUGUGAUGAACUGUGAGAAAAGAUGAAUACCUUGACAGUGGCUGGCCAAGUGCCCCACAUGGGCCAGUGUGGUCGCCAUGGACAGUAGCCCAUAAACUGUCUGCCAUAAAGAGGCCAUUUCAAACCACAGCCUUCCAGGGAGAGGUGAUAUCCACAGAAAGGGUCCAUGUGAAGUGCACCUCAAGAUGCAGACGGUGAGAGGAGCUGUCACCUUGAGAAGCAGCAAGGGGAUGAGCUGUCUUGAAAGGACCACAAGUACACCCUGCAAGUACUAAACACCAGAGCAUCAAUACCAGAUUGCAAGGGCACCAGUCAACCAAGACCUUGACAUUCUCAGAACUCUUCUCCUCUCCCAAUUCAUAGCAAAAAGAUAAAAGCAAACCAUAGGUUCUUCCUCACUAUAGGCUUCUGGGCCUGAGUCAGGCCAGAAGAUACACUGUAUAAUAAUCCACUUAAGUAUUUUUAAACAGCAACUGUUGACUGGCUAACACUCCUGUGAGUCAGCAAUUUGGACAGGUGCAGAUGGGCUGCUCUUCUGGUCCUCUCUAGGCUCACUCGUGUACUAGUGCUCAGCUGCUGGGUCGGCUGGAGGCUUCUGGAUCUUGCAUGGUCUUGGCUGUGGUAGCUCCUCUCUCCUCCACACAGUCUCUCAUCCUCCAGUGGGUAGCAUUAUGAGGGUUGGAUAGUAACCCCAAAGUGCUGGCAGAAGCACACUUGGCCUCUUGCUUCCUGGACUCAGAACUGAAACAACAUCACCCCUGCUGCAUUCCUUGAGUGAGAGUUAGUCACAGGGUCAAGCCUGAUCCAUGGGGUAGACAAACAGAUGUCAUCUCUUCAUCUCUUCAUGGGAGGAGCUUCGAGAUCACAUUGCAGAGCCAUGAAUCCAGAACAGGCAAUAUUUGGG
rnacentral:lncRNA from 10 species